rnacentral:rRNA from 1 species
UGAGGAAUAUUGGACAAUGGGCGAAAGCCUGAUGGAGCGACGUCGCGUGAUGGACGAAGUGCUUCGGCACGUAAACAUCUUUUUAUGUGGGAUGAAAUUAUUGACAGUACCACAUGAAUAAGGGGCUCCUAACUCUGUGCCAGCAGGAGCGGUAAUACAGAGGCCCCAAGCGUUAUCCGGAAUCACUGGGCGUAAAGGGUGUCGAGGCGGUUGUAUUAGUCGUUCGUAAAAUCUACGAGCUUAACUUGUAGGCGGCGAACGAAACGGUACGACUUGAGGUUUGGAGAGGUGCGUGGAACUCACGGUGUAGGGGUGAAAUCCGUUGAUAUCGUGGGGAACACCAAAGGCGAAGGCAGCGCACUGGCCAAAAUCUGACGCUCACACACGAAAGCUAGGGUAGCGAAGAGGAUUAGAUACCCCCGUAGUCCCUGAGCGGGCUGGCAAGGCGCAU